UCAUCUACAGCUUUCAGUGAUCAUUUCUAUAGUUUGUUAUUAGAGAAGUUUCUCUGUGUGGAGUAUUGGAAACCAUCAGGAGGAGGUGUAGCACUCUCUGAGAAUGUAGCUAGCUCUUGGUGUUGCUUUGCUGUAACUGCCACUGGCCAUAUAUGAUUUUUCCUGCUCUUCUUCCAGGGAAGUGGAGGGCAAAGACACAGUCUGAAU